rnacentral:siRNA from 1 species
GAUCCAUCCAACUAAUCCAUUCA